UUUCCCUCCAUGUCAGGUGCUUGAGUAUGGCCGUGGCUUCUUUAUAGAGCUUCUGCUUCUUAUCAGGCAGCAGCUCCGUUAUGGUCUGAGGAAUUGGCUUGAACUCUCUGUUCUUCAUCCAUUU